GGUACGUAACCUACUAAGAACUGGNGACUACUGGAAACCGGAGCUAAUACCGGAUAAGAUAUCGAACCGCAUGGUUCGAUAGUGAAAGAUGGUUUUGCUAUCACUUAUAGAUGGACCCGCGCCGUAUUAGCUAGUUGGUGAGGUAACGGCUCACCAAGGCAACGAUACGUAGCCGACCUGAGAGGGUGAUCGGCCACACUGGAACUGAGACACGGUCCAGACUCCUACGGGAGGCAGCAGGG
rnacentral:rRNA from 1 species